rnacentral:lncRNA from 1 species
AAUAUGUCAUCUUUGUUCUGUAAACUCUUAGAACCAGUAAUUUCUUCUCUGGCUAAGACUGCUACUAACAAGUAGAGUGAUUGCCCACUAUCUAAGCCUGAGACUUAGCUGUACCAACUCCAGAGGAUGUGCAAAUGAUUUUCUUUUUAAAUCUGUGGCAUUUCAGUUUACUAUAAAGUACAUAAAUGUGUAUUUAUUCACCAGUUUUUGAAUGUAGGGUUAAGUCCAUUCUUUGUAAAGGAGUCUACAAAUUUGAAUUCAAUUUUGUCUUUACUGCAUAAGCUGUGCCAGUUAUACAUCCUUUUUUAAUGCUUUUUUUUUAAAAAAAAAAGUGUAUUCAGCUUCAAAACUUUAGCAAAAAGUACUAGCACUCAAAUUCUAUGUUGUGCUGUUAUUUGUAUAGUUUCGUUUAGUGAAGUCUUACUGAAGGAGUUUUAUACAAGGAGUUUCUACUGUAAGGAGAAUAUUAUUUUCAAUCAAUAUUCUGUUAUUUUCCAAUGCUAGGCUUUGUAUUUCCUGGUUAGUUUUAUAGUCAAUGUUAGACCUAUUCUUUUACCGAGUGUGUGUGUGCGCGUGCGUGUAUAAUGUUUUCAAAAUUGAAACUUACUUUGGGUAUGUUUUUCUUUUAUUGCUUCUGUAGAACCUACUGGGUUGGUGACAUUUACAAGAGAGUCUUGAAGAUUUUCCAGAACGGGAAAGGAAGCCAUCAUUCUUUAAAGGGCAAUGACCAAGCAGUACCAGCAGAAAUUGAAGUACCAGCAGAAGGCUAAGAAGGGAUCAUGGCACAAGUUGCAGUUUCCACCCUGCCCAUUGAAGAUGAGGAGUCCAUGGAAGAUGAGGAGUCUGUUGAAGACGAGGAGUCCGUUGAAGAUGAGUCCGCGGAGAGCAGGAUGCUGGUGAUAUUGCUCAUAUCAGCUCUCGAGUCCACGGAUCAUGGCACAAGUUGCAGUUUCCACCCUGCCCAUUGAAGAUGAGGAGUCUGUUGAAGAUGAGGAGUCCUUGGAGAGCAG